rnacentral:lncRNA from 1 species
GAGAGCUCUUUGAGGAAAUAUGGUGGAUUGUGUAGUCAAAGAGAAAGAAAAGCUAUCUCUUUGGCCUUUUGACUCCUAUUCAGACAUAUGCGUGUCCCUAUAGUUGUCACGUGAAAUGUGCCUCUAUUUUCCUCAAAAUCCACGGAUCCUCAGGCAGUCAAUCAGUCAGCAACAUCUAUCGGCUUCAGUCUCGCAGCCUCAACGCACCUCGAUGAAUCACACUUUGCCGACUGGGCUACCUAUUAUCACGGUUCUGUGAACCGUGAAUAUAUAUAUUUCUCCCGAAUUUCUCUUUCUCCUUGACCAAGGAUCGCUGGCUAUCCGACUUCUUCAAAACUGGUCCCUCCCCUCUGGCCUUAUUCGCUUCGAGAUCACAGCUUCUCGCCGGGAACGAAUCGUCGAUAGCGAGGCGGCCAUACUGGCUUAGAAAUACGUGUAAUUUGGCUGGCCAACCGAUCCCUGUGGUCUAGGCUCCGAGUCCAGGCCCUCGAAGCCCAGGGUAUGGCCCAGCAGCAGCAGGUCGCGCUGGAGCGACUGGACCACAUUAUCAGAGGACUACGGUCGCGCGUUGGAGAUGAUACACGGAAGCGUGCGGCCAUACAACUGCGUGAUCUCGUUGUUGUCUGCCAUCGAGACCUCAGCCAGAACAAUUUAUAGCCUUCUACCAUUCCGUCACAAUAAGAUACACAACUCAUUACCCAUGGCGGCGACUCUGCCGAGCGUCUGGGCGGCAUUUACGCACUAGAUUCGCUCGUCGACUUCGACGGUGUCGACGUUGCAGCUAAAUAUACUCGGUUUACGCAGAACCUCAAGACGAUCCUGCGAGGUAAAGACACCAAUCCCAUGCAACCCGCGGCCAUUGCACUAGGAAAGCUUUGCCGCCUGGCGGCGCCUGAUAUCC